rnacentral:rRNA from 1 species
CCUACGGGAGGCAGCAGUGAGGAAUAUUGGUCAAUGGACGAGAGUCUGAACCAGCCAAGUAGCGUGAAGGAUGACUGCCCUAUGGGUUGUAAACUACUUUUAUAUGGGAAUAAAAUGUUCCACGUGUGGGAUUUUGUAUGUACCAUAUGAAUAAGGAUCGGCUAACUCCGUGCCAGCAGCCGCGGUAAUACGGAGGAUCCGAGCGUUAUCCGGAUUUAUUGGGUUUAAAGGGAGCGUAGGUGGAUUGUUAAGUCAGUUGUGAAAGUUUGCGGCUCAACCGUAAAAUUGCAGUUGAAACUGGCAGUCUUGAGUACAGUAGAGGUGGGCGGAAUUCGUGGUGUAGCGGUGAAAUGCUUAGAUAUCACGAAGAACUCCGAUUGCGAAGGCAGUUCACUGGACUGCAACUGACACUGAGGCUCGAAAGUGUGGGUAUCAAACAGGAUUAGAGACCCGAGUAGUC